rnacentral:rRNA from 1 species
CUACUAGGGUUUCUAAUCCCGUUCGCUCCCCUGGCUUUCGCGCCUCAGCGUCAGUUUUCGUCCAGAAAGUCGCCUUCGCCACUGGUGUUCUUCCUAAUAUCUACGCAUUUCACCGCUACACUAGGAAUUCCACUUUCCCCUCCGAUACUCUAGAUCAGCAGUUUCCAUCCCAUCACGGGGUUAAGCCCCGAACUUUUAGGACAGACUGACUGAUCCGCCUGCGCGCGCUUUACGCCCAAUAAUUCCGGACAACGCUUGCCACCUACGUAUUACCGCGGCUGCUGGCAC